GACGAACGCUGGCGGAGGGCGGAACACAUGCAAGUCGAACGGAAAGGCCCUGCUUUUGUGGGGUGCUCGAGUGGCGAACGGGUGAGUAACACGUGAGUAACCUGCCCUUGACUUUGGGAUAACUUCAGGAAACUGGGGCUAAUACCGGAUAGGAGCUCCUGCUGCAUGGUGGGGGUUGGAAAGUUUCGGCGGUUGGGGAUGGACUCGCGGCUUAUCAGCUUGUUGGUGGGGUAGUGGCUUACCAAGGCUUUGACGGGUAGCCGGCCUGAGAGGGUGACCGGCCACAUUGGGACUGAGAUACGGCCCAGACUCCUACGGGAGGCAGCAGUGGGGAAUUUUGCACAAUGGGCGGAAGCCUGAUGCAGCAACGCCGCGUGCGGGAUGACGGCCUUCGGGUUGUAAACCGCUUUCGCCUGUGACGAAGCGUGAGUGACGGUAAUGGGUAAAGAAGCACCGGCUAACUACGUG
rnacentral:rRNA from 1 species